CAAACGAACUGCUCGGCAGUAAGCCUCCAGAAUGUUGCCGCUGUUUGUCGUGUUAGCUAGCUAGAUAAUGGCAGGUUCAUCACAACAGGGAGUACAUGUAGUGAAACUAAAGCCAAUUAUCGUUCCAGAAAGCUUACAAGUCGGAAGCAAGUUUGUAAAAUGGGACGAGGUAUCAAACGUAGCAACCCUGGUUACUCUGAAGGUUGACCCUAAAGGUCAUGUGCUAUCAUGGAGGGACCAGAACAAGUGCGCAAUGACUAUACGCCUAUGUGCCGGAUCUCCUCCUGAGCUAUCUGAUCGAUCACAGCCAUACGCAGCACACAGCCUGCAUGGUUCUAUGCUAAAGAAAUUUCCAUUUAUGUUGAUAGAAUCAAAGCCUAUAUAAACACAGGAAAACAGAAUUAGCAAAUUAGCUAACCGAUUUCCGCCAAUCAGGUCUCGGUUUGUUGCCGUAGUUACAACGCUGCUCGGGUCAAACUGUACACAAAGAGAAAAGCAAAAUUCGUACACAUUUAUCUACGGUCUUUGAUAGCAGAAAGGCAAACAUCCGUAUACUGCAUAAAAAUGUAAAUUCCUUGCAGCCUACGAUAUUUUCAUAACGUAGUUUCUUUGCAUGCUAUCAUGCAUGCUACGGUACGUUAUGAUAUAAUCAGGAGUGAAUAAUAAUAGAUUAUUAUUCUAGAAUAAUCUAUUAAUAAUUACUCCUGAUAUAAUGUCACUAAUAUCAUAGGUAAGCGUAAUCAAGUCUGCUUGCAGUAAUUUGCUGGACCGGCAUGCAUUCUGUAAUACAGUCUGCCAGCUUACGAUGAUACACUGCUUAAAUUAUGUUUACGCCUUUCAUUAAAGGCACUUUUAUUCACUGAUUUAGCCAUUACUGUCCUUAUUGCACAAACAUAAUCUCAUGAUAAUUCAACAUUAUUGAUAGCCCCCACAAUGUUACGAUUAUUAUUUUUAGUAGGUUACGUUUCUUGACGUUGUGAUUCGGAUUCCUUAUAUUCACCAUUGCAUUCUACAUGCACGUUUCUUAACAUUGUACAAUUACUUCCUCUAUUAUACUACUCUAUUAUGCCAUGCUAAUUAUUUUUCCUGAUAAAAACUUGGCUGCUGUUGUACUUGUACUGUAUGGGGUUUGUACUGAAUGUUUUGUUAUAACUAUGUGUGUUGUAGGGUAUACGACAGUCUAUUUCCUCAUCGCUCUA